rnacentral:rRNA from 1 species
GGCUUAACACAUGCAAGUCGAGGGGCAGCAUUGGGAUAGCUUGCUAUUCCAGAUGGCGACCGGCGCACGGGUGAGUAACGCGUAUCCAACCUUCCCCUUAGUAGAGGAUAGCCCGGCGAAAGUCGGAUUAAUACUCUAUGUUGUGUUUUGAGGACAUCUGACGAACACCAAAGGUUCACCGCUAAGGGAUGGGGAUGCGUCUGAUUAGCUUGUUGGCGGGGUAACGGCCCACCAAGGCUACGAUCAGUAGGGGUUCUGAGAGGAAGGUCCCCCACAUUGGUACUGAGACACGGACCAAACUCCUACGGGAGGCAGCAGUGGGGAAUAUUGCACAAUGGGGGAAACCCUGAUGCAGCGAUGCCGCGUGGAGGAAGAAGGUUUUCGGAUUGUAAACUCCUGUCUUAAAGGACGAUAAUGACGGUACUUUAGGAGGAAGCUCCGGCUAACUACGUGCCAGCAGCCGCGGUAAUACGUAGGGAGCGAGCGUUGUCCGGAAUUACUGGGUGUAAAGGGAGCGUAGGCGGGAUUGCAAGUCAGAUGUGAAAUGCAGGGGCUCAACCCCUGAGCUGCAUUUGAAACUGUAGUUCUUGAGUGAAGUAGAGGUAAGCGGAAUUCCUGGUGUAGCGGUGAAAUGCGUAGAUAUCAGGAGGAACACCGGUGGCGAAGGCGGCUUACUGGGCUUUUACUGACGCUGAGGCUCGAAAGCGUGGGGAGCAAACAGGAUUAGAUACCCUGGUAGUCCACGCUGUAAACGAUGAUUACUAGGUGUGGGGGGACUGACCCCUUCCGUGCCGCAGUUAACACAAUAAGUAAUCCACCUGGGGAGUACGGCCGCAAGGUUGAAACUCAAAGGAAUUGACGGGGGCCCGCACAAGCAGUGGAGUAUGUGGUUUAAUUCGAAGCAACGCGAAGAACCUUACCAGGUCUUGACAUCGUAUGCAUAACUUAGAGAUAAGUGAAAUCCCUUCGGGGACAUAUAGACAGGUGGUGCAUGGUGUCGUCAGCUCGUGUCGUGAGAUGUGGGUAGUCCCGCACGAGCGCACCCUUACUUUAGUGCUACGCAGAGCACUCUAAAGGACUGCGUUGACAAACGGAGAGGUGGGGAUGACGUCAUCAUCAUGCCUAUGACCUGGCUACCACGUACUACAAUGCAUAACAAAGAGAGCGAGACGGGUACUGGGAGCGACCCAAAUGUCAGUACAAUGCAGCGCACUCCUGCUGAUCGGAUUGCUAUCGAUCAUGCAUAUCGUCGCGUAUCGCUGUCACUUGAGUCGGUAC